UUAGCUACAGUCUGAUGGUUCUUCCGUUGAUUCUUUUUAAAUAAUAGGAGCCUCUCACAGGUGACAUUUGGAUUCACAAGUCUAGUCCAGCUCCAAAGGACAUGGAGAUGCAUGCUGUGUGGCGUUUACUAAAACGUGAGAAGACUUCCCAUAGAAGCUGCCUUGCCUACAGCAUCUGCACACUGGACUCUGGAUUUGAAGACACAAAAGCAUCAUAUUCCAGUCAUUGAUGGAACUCCACUAGAGCCCCCAGCAAUAGUGGUAGUGGUGACGGGGCCUCCAAAGUUGGAAAGAGCACUUUGAUACAAUGCCUCAUUCGGAACUUCACCUGGCAGAAGUUGACCGAGAUCAGAGGCCCUGUGACGAUCGUGUCAGGUAAAAAGUGCAGACUCACCAUUAUUGAAUGUGGGUGUGAUAUUAACAUGAUGAUUGAUCUGGCUAAAGUAGCAGAUCUGGUAAGUCAGCUGGGGCAGCCUGGGGUGCUGAUGGAGACUUACAGCAUUGUGAUAGGUUAUUUACCCCAUGAUGAAGGGAAGAGAGUUUUAUGGUUAUUAAAAGGAUCAUGGUCAUUAUCAGGGAUAUAGUAGAUGUGACUGAAUUGAUGAUGAUAAUAAUAAUAGUGAUAAAUGUUGUCAUAUUAAUAAUACAAAUGGAAUGUGCACAAUGAAAUGUAUUCCAAAAUCUAAAAGCAAAUCACAGGAUGGAGAAAACCUUUAAUGAACACAGCUAAUAAGAGCUCAUUAAUAUGUAUAUGUAUAUACGUACAAAUAUAUCAUAGUAAGUACCAUUUCUUCUUGGAUCCUUCCUGGCACUGUGCUAACUGCUUUCUACAAAUUUAGCUUACAUAAACCCUUGAUACACCCUUGAGGUGAGUAGGUAUUAUCUAUAGUUUACAUAAGAUGAAAUAGAGCCUCCCAGCAGUUAAGUAACUUGUGUGAAGAUGGGACCCUUGUUCCUGAUGGUUCUAGAACCUUCAUCCUUAAUGAUAAUGCUAAAGUAAGUACAUGAAUUGCCUGAAGAAGUGGUCAGAGUUUAUCAAUAGAAAAUUUAGAUAGUACUCAGUGUGUGGAAGAUGUACAUGCUCUUGCAUUUAUGGAAAUGAUAAUGUUCACUAUUUCUGAUAUUCUAUGAACUAUCUUUUACAUUAGCAAAAAAAAAAAAAAAAAAAAAAAAAAGGCCAGACACAGUGGCUCACACCUGUAAUCCCAGCACUUUGGGAGACCAAAGUGGGCGGAUCACCUGAGGUCAGGAGUUCGAGACCAGCCUGACCAACAUGCAGAAACCCCAUCUCUACUAAAAAUACAAAAUUAGCCAGGUACUGAUGCUUAUAGAUGCCAGCUUUGGGUUUGAAAUGGAAAUGUUUGAAUUUCUAAACAUCGGUGAAGUACAUGGCUUUCCUAA